CCGGGAAAACCAUGACUGGGGAAGGGAAAUUACGAAGCGGGUUUAGAAAGGGGUGCAUAAAAGAAUACUCAAAGAGCUUGGAUACGCGUGAAAUAUUCCUUAAAAAGGAAAAAGGCAUAGUUCGCAUAAAAAGGCUACUCAAAGAACUUGUAUACGCGUUAUAUUCCUUAAAAAGGAAAAAGGCAUCGUUAGGGGCUUGGCUAAAACAUUAUCAGAGUUUGCAACGGAAGGCGUAACUGAAAUAAUCAGUGUUUACAGCGGAAUGCAUAACUGAGAUACAUGUAUGAAGACAUGUAUCCUUUCUGAGCCUACUUUAGGUUCGACAAAAACUCCACUCAGCAACAACACUUCAUCGCCCAUCACAGCUCAACCUGCACAAACAUAAACAUCGGAGGGCUAAGUACAAGAGUACUUAGUGGGCAGUUGCCAAGCAUAUAACAUAACAUCAUUAACAAUUUCACAAUAUCGCAUAAGAGGCAUGAGUUUCUUUCAUAUCCUUUGCUCAUUAAAUAUUUUCAAAUUCAUAAACAGCAUAAGGGCAUUCUUCAUCAUCAAUCUUCAUUAACAAACAUCGUGUCGUGGAGAAGGCCUUCCCCAACGAACACGGGCAUCGCGCCGUGAAGGGGGCCUCCCUCAGCGGUCACGGCAUCGUACUAUUGAGGGAGGCCUCCCCCAAUAGACGCUAUAACACUGGCAUACUGGCAUACUGGCAUACUGGCAUCGUGCCACGAGAGAGGCCUCUCUCAGCGGACACGGGCAUCGCGCCGUGAGGAAGGCCCUCCUCAGCGGACACGGCAUCGUACUGUUGAGGGAGGCCUCCCCCAACAGACGCAAGCAUCAAACAUAAGCAUAAACUUAUCAACGUAAAGCAUUCAAGCGUAAAUAAGCGUAAUCAAGCGUAAAUCAUUUAACGUAAAGCAUAAUAAAGCAUACCAUACUUGAAGAUCCAAUUUGCAUUAUAAAGCAUAACACAUGCAUAGCAUUUUAUUUACGCGUAAGAAAUUGCCCACCUGAUAGCAAAGUUUUGCUAAGGUACUCUAACUCCUUGUGUAGUUCUUACUCUCGCGCUUGACCUUAAUCACGAGAAUAUAAAAUAAGACAUUGCCUCGAGGAAAAUUCUUAAUUAAUGAGAAAGCGUAAUUUAACUAUGCAUGAAUCUGGUAUGCAUGAACUAAUACUCUGAGCGAUAAUCGGGAAUUCUACUAUUAAUCCUCGUUAAUAGAUUUAACUAAUUCUCGUCUAACGCGGUCGAAUAAAACUGUGAUCCUUCAUUUUCCAUCGAAAUAUUCUAAUUGUAAAAUAAAUCUCGCCUUUGUACUCGAUUGAAAAUAGGACUAACUCGGCUUUUCUCAAGAUGUGACCUUGUAGAAACUAUCGAGCUUUUCGAUAGAAGCAUAAUUACUAACGUAACCUCAAAUAAUUAAUCGGCUCAAAAGAGAGUAGCCAAUUAAUUAAGUAAACCAAUGGCUUUAAUGAAAAAAAAACAAUGAUAGCUCGCUUUAAAGUCUGAAAUCCAAAAACAAUAAUUAAUAAACUGGGCUGCUCAUUUACUGAAUAAGUAAUUUGGGCUCCAUCAACAUAGAUACUGCUAGGCUUAAUUAAAAGUAGUAACUUCAGCCCAAGCUUUAAAAGAAUUAAAGCCCAACUAAAAAAAAUGUCUUCGGCCCAAAUGAAUAAAUAAAGGCCCAACAGAAAUAAAAUAAAACAGGGCCAAUUUAAAUAAAAUAACCAAGGCCCAAUUGAAAUAAAAAUAAAGGCCCAAAGAAAUAAAAAUAAAAACAAGGCCCAGCUCUGCCUCAUUUCAGCCCUCUCUUUCUCAUUUUCAAAUCAGUCGGCCCAAUUGAAUAAAUAAAAAGUUAGGCCCAACUAUGAGUUAAAUGGGGAAAGCCCAAAAGAAUUACUCUCUCUCUCUCUUUCAAGAACAGUCGGCCCUCAUCUCUCUCAACAAUCAGUCGAGAACUCCUACCCCAGAACAGUCGGCCUCCCUCAACAUCAGUCCAGGCUCCAGACGCCGUCUCUGCUCCGACCGGCGUCGGCUGCCGCCGAGCCUAGGCCCGGCGUGGUCGCUCCCGCUUCUCUCUCCUUAUCUCCGAAAAACAGCCGGCCCCUUUUUCUCAAUGAUCAGUUGCGGUUUCUCUUCACGGAAGGGUUCACCGGCGCGGCUUCGGAAUUCGGCGAGGUCGACGGUCAGACGAACCUUCUGCCCUCGUCUCACUUCCUCCUUAGUUCACCAUAUCAGCCAACGGCGUCAUCGAGCCCUAAUUCUCUAAAAUACGACGCGACCUGUCAGCCCUUUUCUCGCCUGAAAUCGCCGGCGACGCUGCCGUAUUCCGGUCUCUCUCGUUGCACUGUUGCGUCCGAAAUUGCCUCUGUUGUCGUCUCUCAAAUUAGAGCAGGGCAGCAGCCCUAAUUUUCCUCUCCGAUUUUGAACCGCCAUCUCCUUCGCGUUCCUCCGGCGACCAGGGAAAGGUCCGCCUUCGUUGUUCUCCGGGGUCGAUGGGGUUCGAGUUGCGUCACGCCGCCGCUGCUGCCGUUCUCGGACUUCGCCGUGACAGCAAGAGCUGUCGUCUUAAUCUUCGUCACGGCUCGGCUGAAUAGGGCAGUCGCCCCCUUCCCAUUCGAAGCUAAGUUCUCAUCUCAAUUCGAUUAAAAGUCCUAGUUUUUGUGAUCGUGAGUUCUCGUAAAUGUUAUUCUAGAGUGCAGUGAAAGUGAAGCAUAUAAUUCCUUCUGUUGUAAAGUAAUUCUCUAUUGUACAACAUAUCUUGACUAUUUCGUGAUGAACUGUGAUUAUGCAAGGGAUUAAUGGCGUGUGGCUUUGCUACUGCAUCAUAAAAUUCUCAUGCAUAUAUCCUAUGAAAAGAAUACAUAUACAUACUGAUUGUAUAUGCAGAUGCCUUGAUGAGAUAUUGAAUGUGUAUGCCUUGUUCAUGUGGUGAGUUGAAACUGGAACAAUUGGUUGUUUAAAACAUACUGUAAAAAUGAAAUCGGCGAGAAGGUUACAAGAUGGAACCUUAAGUUGAGCUGCUGAAAACCUGAAUGUUUGUUCUUUUAGCUGUCUGUGCUUUCUGAGUCUGCCAGAAGCUGAAUCAAAAUUCUUUCCCUUUGAGAGUUGGUACACGAAGGAAGAUAUGAAGGAGAAUUUGUUGAUUGAAAUUAUAGAAGAAAGGGUUGUUGGCUAAUAGUAUAAAGUGUGGAGUUGGUGCUGAUUACAUAAUGGGGAUAGUUGGUAGUGAAGUGGAAGAGUAGGUGUAGUGGUGGGGAAGCAAAGCUUGGUGGUAAGCCCACUUAUUUCUUUCUACUAGCUUUACACUUUUAUGCAAAGAGUUAGUGGCUGAGUAGGCCACGUAGAGUCUACAGCUUUUGUAAUAUACUAGACGAUUUUUCCCAAACUGGGAACUAGCCUGUAAUCUGUGAACUGUAAAUAAAUACUGGCUUCGAUUUUCAAUCAUCGCAUUUCUGUAUCCGUUUAGUAUCUGCUUCCUUGUUUCCAAUAUUGAAAAACUAUAAUAUGACUUAAAUCCGUAGAUUUAAUCUACGUUGCAGUCGGAAUAAUUCCUCGACUUCUAGUAGCACUAAUAAAAUAUAACUGCUUCUGUUUUUCGAUUAAUAAAUAACAUGACUUUGCUAAGUCAGUUAUAACUUGGAAAUAAUAAUUAUUGAAUGGCUCAAUAAUCUUUGUCGCGUUUUUCUCAUACGUUAUAAAAGUAUAAAGCUAAAAUAUUACUCCAUCUCUGAUAAAAAAAAUCAGAACUAUAAACUGGAUUCAUUUAUAAAAAUUGCAUUUACUAGUUUUAAUCAUAAUUAAAAGAGCGGGCUACUACAUACUACCCCUCUUAACAAAAAUUUCGUCCCGAAAUUUGCAUAUCUCUGCUAAAACAGUUCGGGGUAUUUUUCCUUCAUCUUGUCUUCAAGUUCCCACGUAACUUCUCUUGUCUGCGAUGUCUCCAUAAGAUUUUCACUGAUGUGAUUGAGGCUGAUUACGCAAGUGUCCACGUAUUGCUGGCAAGGGGGUGUGGGUGUUCCCAAUUGCUGAACCUCGUUGUCUGUUGGGGCAUUGCGUGGAGUAGUGACCUUUUUGGCCACAAUUGUAACAACCGUUAGUUCCAGCACGACAGACACCCCUAUGCAUCUUACCACAAUUUGGGCAAGGUGAAAUUCCUUUCUGACCUUGGUUACCUCUAGUUGGCUCGAGGUUAGUCUGUGCCUCGUACCUUUGUUGAACAUAUUGUUCAACCCGUUCAUUUUCUUGCGAUAUUGUCUUAUUAGUCUGAUUGAUAUUGUCUUCAUUGUUGUCCCACUUGCGCUUCCCUUUGAGAGUAUGCGAGGCUACUGGUGGAUCGUUUGGCGUUGAUAUUAAUGGUGGGGCUGACUUGUCCGACGGCAUUGCAGCUUCAAUGUCAAGUGCCCUGUUCAGAGACUCCGUGUAUGAGAGUCCUCCGUGGCUUGCUAAAGCCAUCUUAAUUUCGUGUCGCAGACCGACACAAAAUUUCUCUGCCAUCUUCUCAUCUGUGUCUACUUGUUGCGGAGCAAACCUCGACAGGUUGCAGAAUUCCUUGUCGUAUUCAACCACAGAUUUCUUUCCUUGCUUCAACUCGUAGAACUCAGCUUCUUUCUUCUUCCUAUAGCUUUUCGGAAUAUAUUUAUCAUAUAAUCCUGUCUUAAAAUCUUCCCAAGUAUAACUUGCCCAUUGUUCCGGUGUCAGAAUUUUUCGACGUGCUUCCCACCAGAAAUCAGCUGAUCCUGUUAGCUGGAAUGAGACGCAAGAUAGGCGCUCCUCAUCAGUACAACGUAGAAAGUUGAAAAUGCGUUCCAUUGCACGCACCCAAAUCUCAGCUUCAGCCGGUUCACUCAUUCCGUCAAACGUGGUGGACUUUGCCUUAAAAGAGUUCUCGACUCUCCUAGUGGGGCGAGGAUGGGUUAUGUCCUCGAGCAUCUUGUGAUUCUUCGGGUACAGCGUUACGGUUUCUGCGAUUGUUAUUGUUUCUCGCAGGGCGUCCUAUCUUAGGCGGCAUUCUGAUAGCAAGGAUGUGCCAAUUAGUACACUCUAGCAUAAUCUAAUACAAGCCUCAAAAGAAUUCUUGUACAUGUUAACUUAUUCUAACUUGUAAACAAGUCAUAACUCCAAUGACAACAUUGAUGUAGUAAGCUCUAAGGGUCCUUAGCAUCUCAUAUCCAUGAGUCAUAUCAAUUCUUAAACAUAUAAUAUCUCAUCAUCUAAAUUAGAUACUUAGGCAUAAGUCAUGGAGAUUCAUAGGGGCUAUAAAAUCACGAGCUUAAAAAUUAUUCUAUACGCAUCACUUAUCUUGCUUCUUUCACUAUAGCCACCAAAAGAUACAGUCGAAGUUCUUCUACGUUUGCUUAUAUGUUCUGUCGUAGUGGUGAUCUCAUAACUUAAUAGCUCUAUAUUCAUAGGGAUUCAUUCCAUAGGCAUACUUAAUCGUGCUUGCAUAAAUCAUUUCAUUCAAUAACAACAAAACAAAGCUAUUGACAGUUACUCACUUUGUUAUUACGAUAGUUCUCACUUUUUGUAAACAUUAACUCAAAACUUGGAAGAGCAUACCAUUCUGCUUCGUUGAGUGUGAUGCGAUGAAGUGCUGAGCUUUGUCGAUUGAACUCUAGACACUUUAGUGAUCCAUUCUAAGUUUGGCUUAAAUAAACUCUUAGGCUCAGAGCAAACGAACUGCUCUGAUACCACUCUGUCACGACCGGCCUUAAUUAGGGAUAAUUAAGUCGGGAAACCAUGACUGGGAAAAGGAAUUAAGAAGCGGGUUUAGAAAGGGGUGCAUAAAAGAAUACUCAAAGAGCUUGAAUACGCGUGAAAUAUUCCUUAAAAAGGAAAAAGGCAUAGUUCGCAUAAAAAGGGUACUCAAAGAANNNNNNNNNNNNNNNNNNNNNNNNNNNNNNNNNNNNNNNNNNNNNNNNNNNNNNNNNNNNNNNNNNNNNNNNNNNNNNNNNNNNNNNNNNNNNNNNNNNNNNNNNNNNNNNNNNNNNNNNNNNNCAAUCAUAAACACGCAUCGUGUCGUGGAGAAGGCCUUCCCCAACGAACACGGGCAUCGCACCGUGAGAGGGGGCCUCCCUCAGCGGUCACGGCAUCGUACUAUUGAAGGAGGCCUCCCCAAUAGACGCUGUAACACUGGCAUACUGGCAUACUGGCAUCGCGCCGCGAGAGAGGCCUCUCUCAGCGGACACGGGCAUCGCGCCGUGAGGAAGGCCCUCCUCAGCGGACACGGCAUCGUACUGUUGAGGGAGGCCUCCCCCAACAGACGCAAGCAUCAAACAUAAGCAUAAACUUAUCAGCGUAAAGCAUUCAAGCGUAAAUAAGCGUAAUCAAGCGUAAUUAAUGGCAUAUAUAUAAAGCAUAGCGUCAUAUUAAAGCAUAAUAAAGCAUACCAUACUUGAAGAUCCAAUUUGCAUUAUAAAGCAUAACACAUGCAUAGCAUUUUAUUUACGCGUAAGAAAUUGCCCACCUGAUAGCAAAGUUUUGCUAAGGUACUCUAACUCCUUGUGUAGUUCUUAUUCUUGCGCUUGACCUUAAUCACGAGAAUAUAAAAAAUAAGACAUUGCCUCGAGGAAAAUUCUUAAUUAAUGAGAAAGCGUAAUUGUAACUAUGCAUGAAUCUGGUAUGCAUGAACUAAUCUUCUGAGCGAUAAUCGGGAAUUCUAUUAUUAAUCCUCGUAAAUAGAUUUAGCUAAUUCUCGUCUAGCGCGGUCGAAUAAAACUGUGAUUCUUCCUUCCUCAUCGGAAUAUUCUAGUUGUGAAAUAAACCUCGCAUUUGUACUUGAUUGAAAAAAAGGACUAACUCGGCUUUAAACGAGGUGUGACCUUGUAGAAAUUAUCGGGCUUUUCGAUAGAAACAUCAUUACUAGCGUAACCUCAAAUAAUUAAUAGGCUCAAAAGAGAGUAGCCAAUUAAUUAAAUAAACCAGUGGCUUUAAAGAAAUAAAUGAUAAUAGUUCGCUUUAAAGUCCGAAGUCCAAAAACAUUAAUUAAUAAACUGGGCGGCUCAUUUACUGAAUAAGAAUCGGCUCGCUCACUGAUAAAUAAUUGGGCUUCAUCAAAAUAGAUACUGCAAGGCUUAACUGAAAGAAGUAACUUCAGCUCAAGCUUUAAAAGAAUUAAAACCCAACUUAAAAAGUCUUCGACCCAAAACAAUUAAAAUAGGGGUCCAAAUAAUAAUUAAUGUGGACUGAAAAGAAUUAAUCUUAGUCCAAUAGGCAAUUUAAUCGGCCCAAAUGAUGAAUUAAACUGGCCCAACGAAAUAUAAAUGGGAUUAGAAUAAUAGCCCAUCAUAAAAUAUGCAUCAGCCCGACUCCUUAAAUUAAUUCAAGCCCAAAAACACUUAAAAUCUGCAGCCCACCUAAAAAGAAGGCCCAGUUCGAAUUUAACAUAAGGGAAAAGCCCAAAUCUUGGCUUGCAAAACUUAAAAAUGUGAGGCCCAAACUUUAAAAUAAUUGAAGCCCAAAUAAAGAAAAGAAUCAACCCAUCAUUUUAAACUCCAGCCCAACUAAUCAAAGUGGCCCAACCAAGAGAUGAAAUCUCGGUUCUUUCUCUCUCAUUUUCACGGCUUCUGUUCCUCAAUUCCUCCACCCAAAUCAGCAGCCUCUCUUCCCAAAUCUCGCCAGCGCCGCUCAAGACCUCUCUCUCUCUCUCGCCCGCUCUACGCGAGCUCCGCCGCGAACGGCUCCGGCGAGAACGACGGCCAGCCGAGGACAUCGCCCCUGGUCCAUUUCUCUCUCUCUCCAUCUACUUCCCUCUCUCAAUUUCUCACCCGAUCUGUCUCCCGCAGAUCUGCCGUCGCCGCUCCGUACUCUGACCAUUCCAGCCGCCGGCGAGGCCAGCGUUGCUCAGAACCCCGACGUCGGUCUGCUCCCUCAUCUCCUCUCUCUCGAUUUACCUCUCAAACUCGACUGAGAGGAGGAGCCCUAGCUUUCCCUGAGAUCGAAUCCUCCGCCGUUUCUGUAAGUCCGGCGACCGCUAGUUGUCGUUCCCCCUCCAAACUUGGUGUCUCGGCCUCAAAUCCGUGUUCGGGAAGAAGAGAGUGGAAGGGCGAGCCCUAAUCGUCAAAUACCAGGUCGCCGCUGCACCGCGUCUCCAUCAGAAUCUGAUGGCUGGUCGCCGUGGCUCUGUAAAUCCGGCAACUGACUGCCGGUUUCGCUCUCCUCCACGAAUCGCCGCCAUCUCCUUCGCGUUCCUCCGGCGACCAGGUAAAGUCCGCCUUCGUUGUUCUCCGGGGUCGACGGGGUUCGAUUUGUGCCACGCCACCGCCGCUGCUGCUACUGGAGGCCGGCUUCGCCGUUGCUGUCGCUGUUCCCGGCGAAGGGUGUCGCCUCGCCUACUCCUCGGCGCCGUUAAAUCCCGAUUCAGAGCAGGGCAAUCGGCCCUAUUUCUUAAGCUAAGUUCUCUAGUUUCAUUCUACUAUUGUAUCUUGAUUCAUUUGCUUAUGAUGUGAAAGUUUAAUACGAGGGGUUGUGGUUUUUCCUAAUUCCGUUUAUAAGCCGUGGAAAUUUUGCUACUGUGCUAAAUGAAUAACAGCGUUGUUAUAUGCUCGUCAAUGAGCCCUGUGUUGGAUUAUGAGCUAAGGUGUAUUCUUUCUUUGUUUUGCAUAAACUACAUAUGCUUGUUGUUCUAGAGUGCAGCCUGUUUGUUGAAGUUUAUACUUUCUAUUGUACGAAAUAUCUAGGGCUAUUUGAUGUAGAUGAACUGUGAUAUGCUAGAUAUGGAUGCAAACUGAGUUGAAUAUUUGGGAUAUCAAAUUACCUUGAGUAUUUUGUGUUGGUAGCUGCUGUUGUUGAUAAUGAAUUCAAUGGAGAAGAAACUCUCGAUACUUGGCAGUUGGCAGCAGGAACUUCAUCUCCCUUUCUGGUGCUUGGUGUAUGAGAGAAGGAAUGAAGUAAGUGGAAAGUUUGGUGGAGAAAAAGGGUGGUGGUGCAGGCUAGUGCGUAGGUCUCAUUUUUGUUAAGUGGAGGUAGUGGUUGAUAAAUAAUUAGAUAGUGGAAGAUGAUUGUCUUAAGCAUGAUCUUCCUCCUAAAGCCAGCAAAUUCGAGAGUUUUAUUUUUUACCCAAAUGUACUGCGUCACUCUUGCUGCCAGUGGUGAGCUUAUAUGCAAAGAUUUCUUCUUGUACUCAGAAAAAAAAUCAAUUACUGCAUUGAUUGAUAGUGGUGGUUGAAGUUCUAAUUGUAAAUAAUAAUAAAUCUUUGUGUCUUGGUUACUCAGUGCAUCUACUAUUUAAUCGCGUGUUUGCAAUCAAAUAUUGGCUUC
rnacentral:lncRNA from 1 species